AAGAACCACAGCAGCGCCCUCUUUCAAACGCACGUGCCAUCAUGGAAGUUGCAAACCGUGUUCCUGAUGGCGUUUUGCCGUUCAUUGUGGAAUACCUCGAGCGGAAUUAUCCAGAUUCGGCCAAGACCGUAAAAACAAAAAGCAGAAUCAAACCCUUGGCGAAAGGGUCGCCAAAGAUUGAAAACAUUUUCAAAGAUUGGAACAAAAACCUACAGACACCCGGCAAUGGAAAAG